AGAUGUUAAAAGCAAGAGACAUGGGAGAGCAUCAUUCCUUUGAGAUUUUAUAACUCAAACCAACUUUGGAGUUGAUUUGGAGAGUCAUUAUUCUUGGUCUUCGCUCUUAGAGGCCACUGAUGAAGAACAGGCAGUGACUGGGAUGAAUGCUGGUCAGAGAGGAGAAUCUUCUUUCCCCCAAACUGAUGCAGCGGUGGUUUUAAAGGAGGACGCUGCCCUGGAUGAUGUAGAUGUCGUCAGAUGCUGUGCUGAUGGGGUUUCUUCAUGAUUACAUCAGUUAUGCUAAAGAGAUCAUGAAAAUUGACUGUGAUGCAUGAUCUGUAUUCAUGGACUAUGAAACAAACUGUAAGUGUAUAAUUUGUUUAAAAAAAAAAAAGUUAAAUGCUUUUUCUGUGUUGUUUAGUAGAAGAGUUUACACUCUGUCAUUCAUACACCUGCUCACAUUCUUUCACACACACACACACACACACACAUGCGUCUGUUAAAUGUUAUAAUAUCAAAGUUAAUGUUGUGAUUUAUUUGUGUACUGUCAUG